rnacentral:rRNA from 1 species
GACGAACGCUGGCGGCGUGCUUAACACAUGCAAGUCGAACGGAAAGGCCCUGCUUGCAGGGUACUCGAGUGGCGAACGGGUGAGUAACACGUGGGUGAUCUGCCCUUCACUUCGGGAUAAGCCUGGGAAACUGGGUCUAAUACCGGAUAGGAGCCAUUUUUAGUGUGAUGGUUGGAAAGUUUUUUCGGUGUAGGAUGAGCUCGCGGCCUAUCAGCUUGUUGGUGGGGUAAUGGCCUACCAAGGCGGCGACGGGUAGCCGGCCUGAGAGGGUGGACGGCCACAAUGGGACUGAGAUACGGCCCAGACUCCUACGGGAGGCAGCAGUGGGGAAUAUUGCACAAUGGGCGCAAGCCUGAUGCAGCGACGCCGCGUGGGGGAUGACGGCCUUCGGGUUGUAAACUCCUUUCGCUAGGGACGAAGCUUUUUGUGACGGUACCUAGAUAAGAAGCACCGGCUAACUACGUG